rnacentral:rRNA from 1 species
AUACAGAGGGUGCAGGCGUUAAUAGGAUUUACUGGGCGUAAAGCGCGCGUAGGUGGCUAAUUAAGUCAAAUGUGAAAUCCCCGAGCUUAACUUGGGAAUUGCAUUCGAUACUGGUUAGCUAGAGUAUGGGAGAGGAUGGUAGAAUUCCAGGUGUAGCGGUGAAAUGCGUAGAGAUCUGGAGGAAUACCGAUGGCGAAGGCAGCCAUCUGGCCUAAUACUGACACUGAGGUGCGAAAGCAUGGGGUGCAAACAGGAUUAGAUACCCUGGUAGUCCAUGCCGUAAACGAUGUCUACUAGCCGUUGGGGCCCUUGAGGCUUUAGUGGCGCAGCUAACGCGAUAAGUAGACCGCCUGGGGAGUACGGUCGCAAGACUAAAACUCAAAUGAAUUGACGGGG